rnacentral:rRNA from 1 species
UACGGAGGGUGCAAGCGUUAUCCGGAUUCACUGGGUUUAAAGGGUGCGUAGGUGGGCUGGUAAGUCAGUGGUGAAAUCUCCAGGCUUAACUUGGAAACUGCCAUUGAUACUAUCAGUCUUGAAUACCGUGGAGGUCAGCGGAAUAUGUCAUGUAGCGGUGAAAUGCUUAGAUAUGACAUAGAACACCAAUUGCGAAGGCAGCUGGCUACACGAAUAUUGACACUGGAUGACACGAAAGCGUGGGAUCAAACAGG